UAGGGAAUCUUCGGCAAUGGACGAAAGUCUGACCGAGCAACGCCGCGUGAGUGAAGAAGGUUUUCGGAUCGUAAAACUCUGUUGUUAGAGAAGAACAAGGACGUUAGUAACCGAACGUCCCCUGACGGUAUCUAACCAGAAAGCCACGGCUCACUACGUGCCAGCAGCCGCGGUAAUACGUAGGUGGCAAGCGUUGUCCGGAUUUAUUGGGCGUAAAGCGAGCGCAGGCGGUUUCUUAAGUAUGAUGUGAAAGCCCCCGGCUCAACCGGGGAGGGUCAUUGGAAACUGGGAGACUUGAGUGCAGAAGAGGAGAGUGGAAUUCCAUGUGUAGCGGUGAAAUGCGUAGAUAUAUGGAGGAACACCAGUGGCGAAGGCGGCUCUCUGGUCUGUAACUGACGCUGAGGCUCGAAAGCGUGGGGAGCAAACAGG
rnacentral:rRNA from 1 species